rnacentral:rRNA from 1 species
AUUGAACGCUGGCGGCAUGCCUUACACAUGCAAGUCGAACGGCAGCACGGGCUUCGGCCUGGUGGCGAGUGGCGAACGGGUGAGUAAUACAUCGGAACGUGCCCUGUAGUGGGGGAUAACUAGUCGAAAGAUUAGCUAAUACCGCAUACGACCUGAGGGUGAAAGCGGGGGACCGUAAGGCCUCGCGCUACAGGAGCGGCCGAUGUCUGAUUAGCUAGUUGGUGGGGUAAGAGCCUACCAAGGCGACGAUCAGUAGCUGGUCUGAGAGGACGAUCAGCCACACUGGGACUGAGACACGGCCCAGACUCCUACGGGAGGCAGCAGUGGGAAAUCUUGGACAAUGGAGGCAACCCUGAUCUAGCAAUGCCGCGUGUGUGAAGAAGGCCUUCGGGUUGUAAAGCACUUUUGUCCGGAAAGAAAUGGCUCUGGUUAAUACCUGGGGUCGAUGACGGUACCGGAAGAAUAAGCACCGGCUAACUACGUGCCAGCCGCCGCAGUAA